UCACUAUGAUGAUGUGGUAUCCAACAUUCGCAGUUUCCACCAGAAGGGUCUUCCUUCGUGAUGGGCAAACCUUCCUUGGAUGUCUGAGUGA